rnacentral:rRNA from 1 species
UCCAGACUCCUACGGGAGGCAGCAGUGGGGAAUAUUGCACAAUGGGGGAAACCCUGAUGCAGCGACGCCGCGUGAGCGAGGAAGUAUUUCGGUAUGUAAAGCUCUGUCAGCUGGGAAGAAGAAUGACGGUACCUGAAGAAGAAGCACCGGCUAAAUACGUGCCAGCAGCCGCGGUAAUACGUAUGGUGCAAGCGUUAUCCGGAUUUACUGGGUGUAAAGGGAGCGCAGGCGGUUCUGCAAGUCUGAUGUGAAAGCCCGGGGCUCAACCGCGGGACUGCAUUGGAAACUGCGGGACUGGAGUGUCGGAGGGGUAAGCGGAAUUCCUGGUGUAGCGGUGAAAUGCGUAGAUAUCAGGAGGAACACCGGUGGCGAAGGCGGCCUGCUGGACUGCGACUGACGUUGAGGCCCGAAAGCGUGGGGAGCAAACAGGAUUAGAUACCCCGGUAA